CACGGGGGGAGCGAACGUUGUUCGGAAUCACUGGGCGUAAAGGGCGUGUAGGCGGUUCGGUAAGUGGAAUGUGAAAUCCCCCGGCUUACCCGGGGAACUGCAUCCCAUACUGCUGGACUUGAGUGCGGGAGAGGAUGGAGGAAUUCCUGGUGUAGCGGUGAAAUGCGUAGAUAUCAGGAAGAACACCCGUGGCGAAGGCGGCUCUCUGGGACGGUACUGACGCUGAGACGCGAAAGCGUGGGGAGCGAACAGG
rnacentral:rRNA from 1 species